rnacentral:rRNA from 1 species
UACGUAGGUGGCAAGCGUUGUUCGGAAUUACUGGGCGUAAAGCGCGUGUAGGCGGCUCUUCAAGUCAGACGUGAAAGCCCCGGGCUUAACUCGGGAACUGCGUUUGAUACUGUCGAGCUAGAGUGUGGAAGGGGCGAUUGGAAUUCCGUGUGUAGCGGUGAAAUGCGUAGAUAUACGGAGGAACACCAGAGGCGAAGGCGGAUCGCUGGGCCAACACUGACGCUGAGACGCGAAAGCGUGGGGAGCAAACAGG